GUCCUUUUGAUAUUAAUUUAAGGUCUGACCUGCCCACUGAAAUUUAAAUGGCCGCAGUAAUUUGACUGUGCAAAGGUAGCAUAAUCAUUAGUUUUUUAAUUAAAAGCUUGUAUGAAGGGUUGGACGAGGUAAAAUCUGUCUCUAUUUAAUUUAUUAUAGAACUUAAUUUUUAAGUUAAAAAGCUUAAAUAUUUUUAAAAGACGAGAAGACCCUAUAGAUCUUUAUAUUAUUAAUUUUAAUUUUAAUUUAGAAUAUUUUAUUUUUUAGUUUUAAUAUUAUUUUAUUGGGGUAAUAAAAAGAUUUAAUUAAUUCUUUUUUUAUUUAAACAUUUAUGAAUGAAUAUAUGAUCCAAUUAUUUUGAUUAUAAGAUUAAGUUACCUUAGGGAUAACAGCGUAAUUUUUUUAGAGAGUUCAUAUCGAUAAAAAAGUUUGCGACCUCGAUGUUGGAUUAAAAAUUAUCUUAGGUGCAGAAGUUUAAGAUUUUGGUCUGUUCGACCAUUAAAUUUUUACA
rnacentral:rRNA from 1 species